CCCAAAUUCACAACGCGCACACACACACUCCAAACUCUCAUUAAGCCAGUGGUGGAAUACAUAUCUUCAUCACAUAAAGAAUGACUAAACAGUAAGCUUAUAUGGACCUGGAGAAGCAUCUACACGCAGGCCAGUACCAGUAAGGGUCUCUCUCUCCCACUCUCCAUAAUGAAUUGGGCAUAAAAGCCAUCCAGGCACUUCAGCCAAUCAUUUGGUGGUGGUGGGAAGGCAAACGUUAGUGCUCAUCUCUUAAACAAACUAUUCAAGGUUCAAUGCAGGGCAGAGCAUAAUAUUUUUGUAACUGAAGUAAUGGGGACAACACUACCAGCCUUGCUCUGCUGUACCUCAAAGUGCAUGAAAAUAUUGCGCAAAAAAACUGUGUUAUGUCAUAUUCUGGGCUUCUGCUUUGACUUACAAUGACUCUGGGGAGGCAACGCCAAGUCUUGAACACAAGCCAGUUGUGGGGACGUGCUGCUUUGGGAGCAAGCCAAAGGCUGGGCUGUGUUUGUGUAUUUGUAAACAUGACUGAGGUCUUCACACCAGAAUUAUUAUUUUUUCAAGAUGCUUAGAACUUACAAUACGAGUUCAAUUUUCAGUCUGUCCGACUGGUACUUUCUACCUCCAUUUUCUCCUCUGUUUCUUAAAGAGAAGAUAAAUUUAAUCCUAUUUAUAUUUUAAUGGCAUCUCUCUCUGUGUGUAGUUAAUAGCAUUUAAAGUGUGUGUGUAUAUAGUUAUGCCACUAAUUUUAUAGUGUAAGUCACUUUUUGUUUAUUUUUCGUUAAAAAGUAAAAUAGCUUCAAGAAGUACAAAGCAAACCCUAGCUUACCACAGAUUUGUGUGGAGGAUAUUGUUACUUUCACAUUCUUUACUGGGUGGACAUGGCUUGUUGAAAACAACCGAUAGAUGUAAAUAACAUAAUGUAACAUAAAACAAUAAGUUCCUUUCUAGGGUAUGAGAGCUUGGGAAUACUGCUGUGGCAAUGUGUUAUUCUCAUUAGAUGAAAUAAGCAGUAUUAAACUGCAGCACAGUGAAUGAUCCUUUUAAGAAUUUAAUUCUAAGUAGGUUUCAUAGAAUCAUAGAAUCAUAGAGUUGGGAGGGAACUUGAGGGUCAUCUAGUCCAACCCCUUGCAAUGCAGGAAUCUCCGCUAAAGCAUCCAUGACAGAUGGCCAUCCAACCUCUGCUUAAAAACCUCCAAGGAAGGAGAGUCCACCACCUUUCGUGGGCAUUUGUUCCACUGCUGAACAGCUCUUAUUGUCAGAAAGCUUUUUCCGAAUGUUUAGUUAGAAUCUCCUUUCUUGAAGCCAUUGGUUUGAGUCCUACCCUCCAAAGUAGGAGAAAAAAAAGCAUGUUCCCUCUUCCAUGUGACAGGCCUUAAGAUAUUUGAAGAUGGCUAUCAUAUCUUCUCUCAGUUUCCUCUUUUCCAGGCUAAAAUUACCCUGCUCCUUCAAGUGCUCCUCAUAAGGCUUAGUUUCCAGACACUUAAUCAUCUUGGUUGCCCUCCGCUGCAGACGUUCUAGCUUGUCAAUAUCCUUUUUAAAUUGUGGCUCCAAUAACUGGAAACAAUAUUCCAGGUGUGGUCUGAACAAAGUAGAAUAGAGUGGUACUAUUACUUCCCUUGAUCUGGACACUAUACUUCUGUUGAUGCAGGCUAGAAUAGCAUUAGCUUUUUUUGCUGCUGCAUCACACUGUUGACUCGUGUUAAGCUUGUGGUCCACCAAGACCCCUGGAUGCUUUUCACAUGUACUGCUAGUAAGCCAGGUGUCCCCCAUCCUAUAUUUGUGCAUCUGGUACUUCCUGCCUAAGUGCAGAACCUUACAUUUGUCCCUAUUGAAAUUCAUUUUGUUAGCCUGUGCCCAGUUUUCCAAUCUGUUAAGGUCAUUUUGAAUUCUGAUUCUGUCUUCUGCGGCAUUAGCUACCCCUCCCAGUGUCAUCUGCAAAUUUGAUUACCAUCUCCUCAAUUCUUUCAUUCAAGACGCUGAACAACAACAGACCCAGGACCGAACCCUUCAGCACCCCACUUGUCACUUUCCCCCAGGAUGACGAGGAACCAUUAAUGAGUACUCUUUGGGUUUGGUCAGUCAAGCAGCUACAAAUCCACCUAACCGUUACAACGUUAAAUCCACAUUUUACCAGUUCCCUUGUGAUAAUAUCAUGGGGUACUUUGUCAAAAGCCUUACUGAAAUCAAGAUACACUAUGUGCACAACAUUUCCCUGAUCCACCAAGUUUGUAAUUCCAUUAAAAAAGAAAAGAAAUCAGAUUGGUCUGGCAUGACUUAUUUCUGGGGAACCCAUGCUGGGUCUUAGUAAUAACAGCAUCCUUUUCUCAAUGCCCACAGACCGACUGUUGAAUUAUCUGUUCUAGGACCUUCCCUGGUAUUGAUUCUCUUUCAGGGGAUUAUAAUACUGUAUCAAGAAAAUAAGCAGAAACUCCUUUAAAUGAAGACAUCUGGCAAGCCUAGUACUCCAGGCACAGCUGAUGAAAUCAGGAAGGACGCAAAUGCAGCUUUGCUACAAAAUAUAAAGCAUUUAAGUUUUAGGAAAUCCUCCUGUUGGAGAGGCAUGGACUAGAGAUGAUCCUUCUGGCUAUAAUCUGAUUAUAAUCUGAUUAGGGUGGCCAGUUAUGUUAUACAUUGUCCCCCAAAAAGAGGCAAAGCAAAAGGCAGAAAAUUUGGUGCAGGUUUGCACAAAAUUUGCACAUGCGGAUUUAUGUAUAUAGAUGCACAUUUAAAAAUAAUAGGAAUUCAAUACUUUUCACCCUAGUGGGGAAGACAGGCGGCAAGUCUUUUUUUUUUCCCCAGCCGAAACUCAUCAGAACUCACCAAAACUCAGUUCUGGCACCUCUCAGGUGGGUGCCAUUGCAAUUACAGUGGUACCUCGGGUUACAUACGCUUCAGGUUACAUACGCUUCAGGUUACAGACUCUGCUAACCCAGAAAUAGUACCUCGGGUUAAGAGCUUUGCUUCAGGAUGAGAACAGAAACUGUACUCCGGCGGCACGGCAGCAGCCGGAGGCCCCAUUAGCUAAAGUGGUGCUUCAGGUUAAGAACAGUUUCAGGUUAAGAACGGACCUCCGGAACGAAUUAAGUACUUAACCCGAGGUACCACUGUAUAAGAGUUCCAGCACCUCUUUUUCUAGAAAAAUAGCACUACCAGGUGGCCUGUAUUGUGUGUGCUCAUUCUGUUCUCCAGGUGCCAACUUUCGAAGGGCAACUUCAAGACCUUUGCUGCUCUCCCUUGUUAGAGUUCUUCAUCUUCAAACCAGACGGCCUUCAAAUACCUAUUUAUUUAUUUUGCGAAUUCAACAAAUAAAUAUAUAGAUAUUUGAAAGGGUUGCCUGGUUCAUGUCAGGUUUAAAGAUAAAGAACCCUAAGGAAGGAGAGCAGCAGAAACCUUGAAGUUGCCCGUAAACUGGACAGGAGUCUGAGGACUACUCUAUGAAAGCUCUUCAAACAGAGGGCAGAACACACGGACCCCCUAAAUAUGUUGCUAGGAUUGAAGGGGGGGGAGCAUAGCAGGCAUGUGGAAAGCAGUGUGUGUGAGAGAGAAGGAAAGGAUGGAUUUAUACAUUUUUAAUGUCAUGGUUUCUCAAGGCAACACAUCUAGGACAGGCCAUAUUCAGCGUGGCACUGACUGGUAAGAAUCAAGUAGUAUUGGCUGAAAACUGGACACAAAGUGGAGUCGCACACAUAUACGCCAUUGGCCAAAAUCUAUUCUGGUGUAAGCAGGUUCAACUCAAUUGACCUCAACUGGUGAAAGAUUUAACAUGUCACAUAAUGUGCGCCUUUGUCUUCCCCAGAAAAGUGAAUUUCAAUGAACGGGACCUAUGCGGGAGGAAUUAGCUGCCAAUGAGGAAGAAGGGAUCACCAGGAAAGAGUGAAGGCUGAAACCAUGGAAACCAUCAUCCGCUCUGACCCCCGCUCCCCCCCCUAGCCCCUUCCUUUCCCUCUGCCUUUCCCAGAACAGACACUGAACUCCAGUUUCUUUUGAUGAGGCAGACACUUGGGUCAAUGGAGCUGUGAUUAAAGUGGUCAGUGAGGUAGCCUAACAAGGGGCGAUUGGCGAAGGAUCCUCCUUACCCUUCCCCCACCUAGGCUGGCUGUAUUAUUGCCCAGUAAGGGAAUGUUCAAUAUCUCCCACAAGGUCACUUUAAAAAAACAACAAGAAACCUUGAGGGGAUGUUGGUGGCGAAAACGUAGCCCUCAGUUAAAAAAAUCUGUUUUACUGCAGCCCAUGCCAAAGGUUCACUUAUUGUUAGAGAUGAAAUAGGCCUUUUGAGGAAAAUCCAAUCAAAUUCAGAAAAUCUUAGAAAAAUAUCCUUUAAUAUACUUCAAAAUUCUCAAAAAAUAAAAUAAAAAUAAUAAUGUUUUGCCUCACC